rnacentral:lncRNA from 1 species
CGCGGUUUUAGGCAGAGCGAAGGAGCCCCCUGCUGGCCAGACGCGGCAGGCGCGGCGACCCUGCUCCGGGUUUCCUCCACCCGGCGGCCGCGGCCCCGCCCUGACCCACCUCGACCCUCCCACGCCCCCGGCGCUGGGGCGUGUCCAGAGACACAGAAAACAAAACAAAACAAAGCGCCAAAAGCCACUCUCACCUGUCGACUGCUCAAAGGUUCAAGCUCUGUCAUGAAUGUAGUCUUCACCACCACCACCAAGACCAGCUGGCAGACCGAAGUAGUUUCCCAUGUGCUCAUGAAAGAAUGGGGUAGGUUUUUCUAAAUCUGGUCUGUAUUAUGUAGUUUAAACAAAUUGAUUUUAAUAUUUUUUAUCUUGCAAUUAAGUCUUCAAUGCCGUUUGUUCUGAAAUGCUCCUUUGCAAACACCUUGUAAAGUGAAUAUAAAGGAAUUAUUUAAUUAUUUCAAUUAGGAAUUCCAUUUGUGGACAGCAGAGGUCUCAAUUAAAAAUUAUAUACAUGUAUGUAUACACACACACACACACACACACACACACACAUAUUGGUGCUACCAGUACAUUCUUCUGGAAAUGCAGCCAAUCUCUCUUUCUUUAGGCUAGCAUGUAAAAUAUUAUGGAGCUUGAAGUAA